UGGUUCUUCAUCUAGUAGCUUAGGAUGCCACACUCUGAAUGUGGUCACGGGAGUGCGAAUCUCUCAGAACCAGCCA
rnacentral:tRNA from 1 species